UAAAAAAAAAAUCAGAAAAAUAUAAACUUAACCCUAUUUUCUUUUUUAUUUUUUCUCUUUCUUCCCGAGACUCCUCCUCGUGCCUCUCUCCCAUUGCAGGUUCUUCAAUGGCGAGGACUCAGCCCGAUGCUGCCGCUUAGCCCGAAGCCCACUCCUUAUCGCGCUGUCGCCGGACCUCGUCGAUGACACCAACAGCCUCGGCGACUGAUUCGUGCAUGGAUGGCAGAUCCAAAGCCGCAUCCCCAACGCCAGACGCACCACCCUCACUGCCCAUAAAGCAACCUAAGACCACAACAUUGGUCUUGGAGGCUUCAGAGGACAGCAGCGAGAAUACAACCUCGACUGCUAGUGAUAAAAGACCAACGGGUCAGGAGGCAGAAGCCACCAGUGAGGAGACUCAGGUUGAUUCUCCUCCAAAGAAAAACUAGAAAAAGUGAAUGCCCAGGAUAGCUGAUAGAAAGGCCAGAUAUCUACCCGCGAAGCAUGACCUGCACGACAACUUUAACUUUGAAGGCGACGAUGAGGUCAGAGGACAAGUCAGCCCCAGCUUCCUUAGCAGCACCUCUAGAACCUAGUGAUCAAGCCGCCUAGCUAGAAUUGAAGUGAAAAUGCACCACAUUGAUGCAAAAUUGGACGCCAUUUUCUCUCAUUUGGGGUUACCCAUACCCCAACCACCACCAGCCUGAGUUUUUAAUGACUUACUCUUCAGGGAAGUUCUCUUUGACUCACUUUUGCUAAUUUAUUUGUAAACUUCCCCCGUUGCUUGAAUUUUUCCACAUUGAGUACAAUGUGAGGAGUAAGUUUGGGGGGGGGGGAGGGGGAGAAGUAAUUGGGAUAGAAGUGAUUUUUUUGAUUGGUUGAUGGGUUGAUGUACAUAUUUUUCUGUGUUUAGAAAAUUUUUCUUCUAUUAUGCUGUUUUUGCACAAUUUUUCUAUUGAUUGCUAGAGGUUUGCCCAAGCCUGUAAGACUUUUUCUGAUUCUCGGCAGUUUCUCAACACUUGCACUUGC